rnacentral:rRNA from 1 species
UGCCAGCCGCCGCGGUAAUACGGAGGGUCCAAGCGUUAUCCGGAUUUAUUGGGUUUAAAGGGUGCGCAGGCGGAACUUUAAGUCAGUGGUGAAAUCUUGCCGCUUAACUGUAGAUGUGCCAUUGAAACUGGGAAACUUGAGUAUGGACGAGGUAGGCGGAAUUUGUGGUGUAGCGGUGAAAUGCUUAGAUAUUACACAGAACACCGAUUGCGAAGGCAGCUUGCUAAACUAUGAUUGACGCUGAUGCACGAAAGCGUGGGGAGCGAACAGGAUUAGAUA